rnacentral:rRNA from 1 species
UACAGAGGGUGCGAGCGUUAAUCGGAAUUACUGGGCGUAAAGCGUGCGUAGACGGUUAUUUAAGUCGGAUGUGAAAGCCCCGGGCUCAACCCGGGAAGUGCACUCGAUACUGCGUGGCUUGAGUACUGGAGAGGUUGGUGGAAUUCUCGGUGUAGAGGUGAAAUUCGUAGAUAUCGAGAGGAACACCGGUGGCGAAGGCGGCCAACUGGACAGAUACUGACGCUGAGACACGAAAGCGUGGGGAGCAAACAGG